rnacentral:rRNA from 1 species
GCUGGCGGCAGGCCUAACACAUGCAAGUCGAGCGCGUGUAGCAAUACACGAGCGGCAGACGGGAGAGUAACACGUGGGAACGUGCCCUUCGGUUCGGAACAACCCAGGGAAACUUGGGCUAAUACCGGAUACGUCCGUAAGGAGAAAGAUUUAUCGCCGAAGGAUCGGCCCGCGUCUGAUUAGCUAGUUGGUGAGGUAACGGCUCACCAAGGCGACGAUCAGUAGCUGGUCUGAGAGGAUGAUCAGCCUCACUGGGACUGAGACACGGCCCAGACUCCUACGGGAGGCAGCAGUGGGGAAUAUUGGACAAUGGGCGCAAGCCUGAUCCAGCCAUGCCGCGUGGGUGAUGAAGGCCCUAGGGUUGUAAAGCCCUUUCGGCGGGGAAGAUAAUGACGGUACCCGCAGAAGAAGCCCCGGCUAACUUCGUGCCAGCAGCCGCGGUAAUACGAAGGGGGCUAGCGUUGCUCGGAAUCACUGGGCGUAAAGCGCACGUAGGCGGGUCGCUAAGUCG